CGGCGUGGUUAAGACAUGCAAGUCGAACGCUGGUUUGCGGGUAGCAAUAUUUGCAAACUGGAGUGGCGCAAGGGUGUGUAACACGUGGGUAAUCUGCCAUGAAGUCUGGGAUAACUUGCUGAAAGGCGAGCUAAUACCGGAUGUGAAUGUAAAUUCAAAGUUGGGGACCGUAAGGCCUGACGCUUCAUGAUGAGCCCGCGGCCUAUCAGCUAGUUGGUGAGGUAACGGCUCACCAAGGCUAAGACGGGUAGCUGGUCUGAGAGGACGACCAGCCACACUGGAACUGAGACACGGUCCAGACACCUACGGGUGGCAGCAGUCGAGAAUUUUUCUCAAUGGGCGAAAGCCUGAAAGAGGCGACGCCGCGUGGGGGAUGAAUGGCUUCGGCCCGUAAACGCCUGUCAUUUGUGAACAAAUUGUUUCACCUAACAC
rnacentral:rRNA from 1 species